CUGUGAUUGAGGCCAGACACACCCCGUGCUACACCAGCCGAAAGCUGCAUGCUCCCUGAACCAGAACUGGGGGGCAAAAGGCCAUGUCGUAGGGGAUCUGCUGAGACAGCUAAUAUUUAUACCAGCUUUCUGGGCCCUUUGCACCACUGAAGUGACACAAAUGGCUCGGAUCAGGAAACAAAAGAAUUCAAACGUCUUUUCCAAGUCAGAGCUGAAGGAAUCCCUUUAAGUGACAUAAGUCCCUCAGUGGGGCUGUAUGCUCUGUUUCACCACUGAAUAAGCUGAAAUGAUUGGGUCUACUCUACUUCAUGAUUCCUAGAUAUCACUAGGGUGUGCUAUAGAUCAUGAAAUUUCAGUAAAGCACUUGUUAACAAGGCAAUCUAUCUGCUAUACUAAAUAUUUUAAAUUAAUUCCAAACAUGAAAGCAAUGCACACUGAUCCAAAUACACAUUUAAAACAACAUUUAAAGCACUUGAGAGAGGUAAUAUCAUAACACUUGUUUAACAGUUUAAAACUUUUUGCUACAUACGCUUGGAGAAACAUACAAUAGUGCAUGGCUACAAAGAGUUAGUGAGAGCUAGACAGAUAAUCAAUCAAUCUAAAAUGCCUUCAAAUCAAUAAAACCUAAAAGAAGAGAUCUAAAUAGUGACUGAAAGAUUGGAAUGGAACAUGUAUAUACAAGAAGCAUAACCAAUAAGGG